rnacentral:lncRNA from 1 species
AUUUUUUUUACAUGGUUAUUGAUUUAGAGAUAAUAUUAAUGAGAUUAAGAUUAAAUUAUUUGAUCUUAUCUAUUAUUAUAUUUGAUUAUUUAAAUUAUAAUUAAGAUGAAGUAUAAUUAGAGUAGGAUUCAGUAUAAUUAGUUAUAAAUAGAUAAAUAGAUAGGUCGGAAUUAUUUUGUUAAUGAGGCCGGGAGUCGUUGUAUCGGAUCACGCAUGCAUGAGAAUUGUAGUGUAUUAAUUUGUUUUUUUAAAUAAAGUUGAUUUUAGGUU